GAUCAUGGCUCAGGACGAACGCUUGCGGCGCGCCUAACACAUGCAAGUCGAACGAGCGAGAGAGAGCUUGCUUUCUCGAGCGAGUGGCGAACGGGUGAGUAACGCGUGAGGAACCUGCCUCAAAGAGGGGGACAACAGUUGGAAACGACUGCUAAUACCGCAUAAGCCCACGGCUCGGCAUCGAGCAGAGGGAAAAAGGAGCAAUCCGCUUUGAGAUGGCCUCGCGUCCGAUUAG
rnacentral:rRNA from 1 species